CAGUCCUACGUGAUCUGAGUUCAGACCGGAGCAAUCCAGGUCGGUUUCUAUCUAUGAUGAACUCUUCCCAGUACGAAAGGAUAGGAAAAGUGAGGCCAAUACCACAAGCAAGCCUUCGCCUUAAGUAAUGAAAACAACUAAAUUACAAAAGGCUAUCACACCACACCAUGUCCAAGAAAAGGACCA
rnacentral:rRNA from 1 species